AUCCAGCUGGCGAGUCCCAAAUAGGACUUGACGCGUGUCCUGGAU
rfam:Schistosoma rodhaini strain Burundi genome assembly, scaffold: SROB_scaffold0003921